CUUUGUUGUUACAUGAAGUCGCAUCACUCGCUCUGAAUGUUCUCAGCUGAUUGAAUGGGUGUUGAUAUCAAGACCAGAUAUAUCAGGUGGUCAGGCCCUACUCUUCGUCCUAGUUGGCUCAGUAGGAUUAUGCAUUAUCAUGCAUUGGUAUUCUCCAAUUUUAUUCUCUUUGUACAUGCUCCCAUUGGGCUCCAUUCUUCACAAACAUAACAUAUCUUAUCAUUGUUAUGCUGAUGACACACAGCUGUACCUGCCUCUAAAAUCUCU